rnacentral:rRNA from 1 species
GUAGGUGGCAAGCGUUGUCCGGAUUUACUGGGCGUAAAGCGCGCGCAGGCGGUCCUUUAAGUCUGAUGUGAAAGCCCACGGCUCGACCGUGGAGGGUCAUUGGAAACUGGGGGACUUGAGUGCAGGAGAGAAGAGUGGAAUUCCACGUGUAGCGGUGAAAUGCGUAGAUAUCUGGAGGAACACCGGUGGCGAAGGCGGCGUCCUGGACCAAUACUGACACUGAUGAGCGAAAGCCAGGGGAGCAAACGGG